rnacentral:rRNA from 1 species
UACGUAGGGUGCAAGCGUUAAUCGGAAUUACUGGGCGUAAAGCGUGCGCAGGCGGUUGUGUAAGACAGGUGUGAAAUCCCCGGGCUUAACCUGGGAACUGCAUUUGUGACUGCACGGCUAGAGUGUGUCAGAGGGGGGUGGAAUUCCACGUGUAGCAGUGAAAUGCGUAGAUAUGCGGAGGAACACCGAUGGCGAAGGCAAUCCCCUGGACCUGUACUGACGCUCAUGCACGAAAGCGUGGGGAGCAAACAGG